AGGUGAUCUACCCUUGGUCAGGUUGAAGUUCAGGUAACACUGAAUGGAGGACCGAACCGACUUACGUUGAAAAGUGAGCGGAUGAACUGAGGGUAGCGGAGAAAUUCCAAUCGAACCUGGAGAUAGCUGGUUCUCUCCGAAAUAGCUUUAGGGCUAGCCUCAAGUGAUGAUUAUUGGAGGUAGAGCACUGUUUGGACGAGGGGCCCCUCUCGGGUUACCGAAUUCAGACAAACUCCGAAUGCCAAUUAAUUUAACUUGGGAGUCAGAACAUGGGUGAUAAGGUCCGUGUUCGAAAGGGAAACAGCCCAGACCACCAGCUAAGGUCCCAAAAUAUAUGUUAAGUGGAAAAGGAUGUGGCGUUGCCCAGACAACUAGGAUGUUGGCUUAGAAGCAGCCAUCAUUUAAAGAGUGCGUAAUAGCUCACUAGUCGAGUGACACUGCGCCGAAAAUGUACCGGGGCUAAACAUAUUACCGAAGCUGUGGAUUGUCCUUUGGACAAUGGUAGGAGAGCGUUCU
rnacentral:rRNA from 1 species